AAUAUGGUGCCUGAGAAAAGGAUAGCACUGAUACAGCUAAUAAUGUAAAAUUUUUACCCAUAUUA
rnacentral:tRNA from 1 species